GCUGUUAUUAUAAAAUAAAAAUUCUAUCAUCAACAAUGUAGUAUACUUUUACCCAAAUCUCGUGCAUCAGAUUUUGUGGUAUGGCAAUAAAAGAGCCUUAUAUGAGCCAAAGCCAAGAGAACACACACCCUCCAAAUGUUUUAUAAGGUCCUAUUUUUCAAAUGUUUGUCGAAAAAGUUUCAGUGGAUAAUUUCUCUAUCUUCAUGCACUCAUUGUCUUUAUUGGGAAUUUUUUCCAACUUAAACUUUGCUCUUCUUAGCAGUUCUCUUUUCUCUUUUUUUUUUCUUGCACAAUGAUUCCUGGCUAUAACGUUCAUGAGAUCUAAACAACCUAACUUGAUAGUGACAUGGAAGAGCUUCUCCCUACGUGGCUGCUAUCCGCAUCUCCGCAAACAUAUAUGCUAAGGCCUUGUUUAGAUACAUCAAAAACCCAAAACUUUACAAGAUUCCCUAUCACAUCGAAUCUUGCGGCACAUGUAUGGAACACUAAAUAUAGAUAAAAAAGAUAACUAAUUGCACAGUUUAACUGUAAAUCACGAGACG
rnacentral:lncRNA from 1 species